GGAACUGAAACAUCUAAGUACCUGAAGGAAGAGAAAGAAAUUCGAUUCCGUAAGUAGCGGCGAGCGAACGCGGAUUAGCCAAAACCAAUAAAGUUUUCUUUAUUGGGGUUGCGGACAUAUCAUAACGGAGAGGUAUCGUAAUUGAAGAGGUUUGGAAAGACCCACCACAGAAGGUAAUAGUCCUGUAUGUUAAACGAGAAGACUUUA
rnacentral:rRNA from 1 species